CAAAUUCUUUUUAAAAGAACAGGCUGCCCUAAAGAAUGGAGAUGACGACGCCCUAAAAAUGGCUCCUCUCUCCUGCACCGAGGUCUGCAUCUCCUAGCCUGUCUUUGAGCUUAAAAUUUGACUAAGUCCAAUUUGAAGAUAUUAUAAAUUCAUUUUAGCGGACCUUGGGUUAAUCUCAGAAAGAAUGAAAUCUAUCUUUGUCUAAUCGGCGUUCUCGACCCAUGGCAGCGGCUCGCCCACCGGGCGAGAGAGAGCGAUGCUCUUUGUCCGAACAAAACUUUCAUACCAGUCCAGUUCGUGGGUACUAUGCCUGUUUGGUCACGUACCAGUUUUUUUCCAUGACGUCAUACAUUGGCCUCAGAUGACCCAAAUGCUUCCAGAAUAGACUGCACCUGCAUCUCGGCCGGUCUCAAACGGAUUCAACCAGAUGAGGUGACCAUGUUCUCACGGAAGUAACAAUUUUCUCAGGGAUGCUUCAUCCUGUUUCCCACUCCCAAAUCUUGUCAACUGUCCAUCAACGUGACAUUUG